rnacentral:snoRNA from 15 species
UGCUGUUGAUGAUGACUAUAAAUGAUGGGAAUCUCUCUGAAAGAAAAUGAAGACUUAAUAUUGGAAACUGAAACAGUA